GACGAAGGGGGCUAGCGUUGUUCGGAAUUACUGGGCGUAAAGCGCGUGUAGGCGGUUGCCCAAGUCGGGUGUGAAAGCCUUGAGCUCAACUCAAGAAAUGCACUCGGUACUGGGUGACUAGAGGACCGGAGAGGAUAGUGGAAUUCCCAGUGUAGUGGUGAAAUACGUAGAGAUUGGGAAGAACACCAGUGGCGAAGGCGGCUAUCUGGACGGUUUCUGACGCUAAGACGCGAAAGCGUGGUGAGCAAACAGG
rnacentral:rRNA from 1 species